UGGGCUGUAUUGUGAUCUGUAAAACCUCC
rnacentral:piRNA from 1 species